rnacentral:rRNA from 1 species
AUUGAACGCUGGCGGCAGGCCUAACACAUGCAAGUCGAGCGGAUGAAGGGAGCUUGCUCCUGGAUUCAGCGGCGGACGGGUGAGUAAUGCCUAGGAAUCUGCCUGGUAGUGGGGGAUAACGUCCGGAAACGGGCGCUAAUACCGCAUACGUCCUGAGGGAGAAAGUGGGGGAUCUUCGGACCUCACGCUAUCAGAUGAGCCUAGGUCGGAUUAGCUAGUUGGUGGGGUAAAGGCCUACCAAGGCGACGAUCCGUAACUGGUCUGAGAGGAUGAUCAGUCACACUGGAACUGAGACACGGUCCAGACUCCUACGGGAGGCAGCAGUGGGGAAUAUUGGACAAGGGGCGAAAGCCUGAUCCAGCCAUGGCGCGUGUGUGAAGAAGGUCUUCGGAUUGUAAAGCACUUUAAGUUGGGAGGAAGGGCAGUAAGCUAAUACCUUGCUGUUUUGACGUUACCAACAGAAUAAGCACCGGCUAACUUCGUG